ACCACUAUGUUGUGGAAGUCAAUAAACUAAUAAUCAGGUUAGAGAAGCUCACUGCAUUUGACAGAACAAAUACUGAGUCUGCAAAGAUUCGAGCAAUAGAAAAGUCUGUGGUGCCUUGGGUCAACGACCAGGAUGUCCCUUUCUGUCCAGACUGUGGGAAUAAGUUCAGCAUCCGGAACCGCCGCCACCACUGCCGCCUCUGCGGGUCUAUUAUGUGCAAGAAGUGUAUGGAGCUCAUCAGCCUUCCCUUGGCAAAAAUUACGACUUUGCAUGGAGAAAGUUGACCAGAAAGCUCCAGAAUACAUCAGGAUGGCAGCAUCAUUAAAUGCUGGGGAGACAACCUACAGUCUGGAACAUGCCAGUGACCUUCGAGUGGAAGUGCAGAAAGUGUAUGAGCUGAUAGACGCUUUAAGUAAGAAGAUCUUAACCUUGGGCUUGAACCAGGACCCUCCACCACAUCCAAGCAAUUUGCGGCUGCAGAGAAUGAUCAGAUACUCAGCUACACUUUUUGUGCAGGAAAAGUUGCUUGGUUUGAUGUCACUGCCAACCAAAGAACAGUUUGAGGAACUGAAAAAGAAAAGGAAGGAGGAAAUGGAGAGGAAGAGGGCCGUGGAGAGACAAGCUGCCCUGGAGUCCCAGCGAAGGCUUGAGGAAAGGCAGAGUGGCCUGGCUUCUCGAGCGGCCAACGGGGAGGUGGCAUCUCUCCGCAGGGGCCCUGCCCCCUUGAGAAAGGCUGAGGGCUGGCUCCCACUGUCAGGAGGUCAGGGGCAGAGUGAGGACUCAGACCCGCUCCUCCAGCAGAUCCACAACAUCACAUCAUUCAUCAGGCAGGCCAAGGCCGCGGGCCGCAUGGAUGAAGUGCGCACUCUGCAGGAGAACCUGCGGCAGCUGCAGGACGAGUAUGACCAGCAGCAGACAGAGAAGGCCAUCGAGCUGUCCCGGAGGCAGGCUGAGGAGGAGGACCUGCAGCGGGAACAGCUGCAGAUGUUGCGUGAACGGGAGUUGGAACGAGAAAGGGAGCAGUUUCGGGUGGCAUCCCUGCACACACGGACUCGGUCCCUGGACUUCAGAGAAAUCGGCCCUUUUCAGCUGGAGCCCAGCAGAGAGCCUCGCACCCACCUUGCUUAUGCUUUGGAUCUAGGCUCUUCCCCAGUUCCAAGCAGCACAGCUCCCAAGACCCCUUCACUUAGCUCAACUCAACCCACCAGAGUGUGGUCUGGGCCCCCAGCCGUUGGCCAGGAGCGCUUACCCCAGAGCAGCAUGCCACAGCAACAUGAGGGGCCCUCCUUAAACCCCUUUGAUGAGGAAGACCUCUCCAGCCCCAUGGAAGAGGCCACUACUGGUCCUCCUGCUGCAGGGGUUUCCUUAGACCCUUCAGCCCGCAUCCUGAAAGAGUACAAUCCUUUCGAGGAAGAGGACGAGGAGGAGGAAGCAGUGGCAGGGAAUCCAUUCAUUCAGCCAGACAGCCCAGCUCCUAACCCCUUCAGUGAGGAAGACGAACAUCCCCAGCAGAGGCUCUCAAGCCCUCUGGUUCCUGGUAACCCCUUUGAGGAACCCACCUGUAUCAACCCCUUUGAGAUGGACAGUGACAGUGGGCCAGAGGCUGAGGAGCCCAUAGAGGAAGAGCUCCUCCUGCAGCAGAUCGAUAACAUCAAGGCAUACAUCUUUGAUGCCAAGCAGUGCGGCCGCCUGGAUGAGGCACUACCUGGCAGCACCAUCUAAACCUGUAUCAUCUGCUGUGGUCCCAGUUACUCAGGAGGCUGAGGCAGGAGGAUCACUUGAGCCCAGGAGGUUGAGGCUGGAGUGAGCCAUGACUGUACCACUGCAUUCCAGCCUGGGUGACGGAGUGAGGCCCUAUCUGCCUGCCAGUGAGUUCUGUCAUGCAUCAGACUUUGGACCUCAGAAUUUUCACCUGGAACAUGAGAGGUCAGAUGACAUAAUGAAUAUGUUCUAACUUCUGAAACUUUUGGAGCUUGUUUUUGCCCUUGAUAGCACGUAUCCUUAGAGAAUAAGCUUGCCAAUUUAAGGCCUGUCUGUAAUGGCAUCUGAAUGUUCCAGCAGCCUAACUGUGCUCUGCUCCAGAAACAUGUGUGUGGCUUCCCUACCUCCACACCAAGGAGCUGCCUUGCUGGGUGGAUGUAAAGACUGUCCUGCCAGGGUUUCCCACUAAAGGUAUUAAUAAGUCCAGUGGACCACAGAGGGCCCAAUCCCUCUUGGCCGCUAAGGCUAAGGUAGGAGCCAGAGAGCUGUAGAGACAGGACCACCAGGAUGCUUCAUGUCCAUAACACAAGAGAGCGCUGCAUUGUUUGGGGGCCAGGCAUUACUACUAUCAUGAAGAAAAAUGAAGAGCAGGAUGCAUGUUAGUCUUUAAUUCACUUUUAAUAGUAUAAACCUCAUUUAGGUAGUAGUAUUAAGCCACAACAAUAAUGCCACAUUGAAACAGCAUUUAAUAAAAUGCAUAAAGCUAAUUCAUGCACUGCAAUACUCUAUAUACAAACACAACAAUGCAAAUUCUUCUUCAAGACUGAAGACAUUGAUUAGAUAUAAAAUUCAGUUUAAAAAGAACAUGCUAUUUUUUAAAUGCCAUCACAUAAACAAAGUGAUUUCACAGGGAGAAGAAAGCUGUAUAAAGCUGCAGCUUUCAACAGGUUUUAAACCUGGCAUUAAAAUGUAAUGGCAAAACCAAUAUUUUCUAUAUUGUGAAGGGCAAAGGUUACAGAAACGGUCCCAAGAAAAUCUAACACCCAAAUUUUCCUUUGAUAGAUAGAUGCCUUUAAAAGGGCUGGUAAUGCAGUUACAUUCUAACAGAGAAGUCCAAACUACAGGUAAAAACUACGGCUUGUACUGUGAAAAAUGUGCAGCUUUUCAGUUAUAAAACUAGUUGAACACUGGUUUACAAGAUAAUCCGUAGAACAGAGAGACUGUAGAAAAAUAUUCCAGCACUUGAGUUGUGUGUGGCAGCAGCAUUUGAGUCCAUGAAUGCUAUGGUCAUUAAAAUAAUUGAUUAUACUUUCCUAAAGAAAAGCCAUUUUUUAAUGCAAAGUCUACUACUUCCAAAUGUUAUUCCAAACAUUAAAUUUUAACAG
ensembl:lncRNA novel transcript